rnacentral:rRNA from 1 species
CGGGUGAAAAGCCCGCUCGCCGGAAGACCAAGGGUUCCUGUCCAACGUUAAUCGGGGCAGGGUGAGUCGACCCCUAAGGCGAGGCCGAAAGGCGUAGUCGAUGGGAAACGGGUUAAUAUUCCCGUACUUGGUGUUACUGCGAAGGGGGGACGGAGAAGGCUAUGUUGGCCGGGCGACGGUUGUCCCGGUUUAAGCGUGUAGGUGUGUGUUCCAGGUAAAUCCGGUUCACUUUAACACUGAGGCGUGACGACGAGGCACUACGGUGCUGAAGCAACAAAUGCCCUGCUUCCAGGAAAAGCCUCUAAGCAUCAGGUAACAUCAAAUCGUACCCCAAACCGACACAGGUGGUCAGGUAGAGAAUACCAAGGCGCUUGAGAGAACUCGGGUGAAGGAACUAGGCAAAAUGGUGCCGUAACUUCGGGAGAAGGCACGCUGACACGUAGGUGAAGUGAUUUACUCAUGGAGCUGAAGUCAGUCGAAGAUACCAGCUGGCUGCAACUGUUUAUUAAAAACACAGCACUGUGCAAACACGAAAGUGGACGUAUACGGUGUGACGCCUGCCCGGUGCCGGAAGGUUAAUUGAUGGGGUCAGCGCAAGCGAAGCUCCUGAUCGAAGCCCCGGUAAACGGCGGCCGUAACUAUAACGGUCCUAAGGUAGCGAAAUUCCUUGUCGGGUAAGUUCCGACCUGCACGAAUGGCGUAAUGAUGGCCAGGCUGUCUCCACCCGAGACUCAGUGAAAUUGAACUCGCUGUGAAGAUGCAGUGUACCCGCGGCAAGACGGAAAGACCCCGUGAACCUUUACUAUAGCUUGACACUGAACAUUGAGCCUUGAUGUGUAGGAUAGGUGGGAGGCUUUGAAGCGUGGACGCCAGUCUGCGUGGAGCCGACCUUGAAAUACCACCCUUUAAUGUUUGAUGUUCUAACGUGGACCCGUUACCCGGGUUGCGGACAGUGUCUGGUGGGUAGUUUGACUGGGGCGGUCUCCUCCUAAAGAGUAACGGAGGAGCACGAAGGUUGGCUAAUCCUGGUCGGACAUCAGGAGGUUAGUGCAAUGGCAUAAGCCAGCUUGACUGCGAGCGUGACGGCGCGAGCAGGUGCGAAAGCAGGUCAUAGUGAUCCGGUGGUUCUGAAUGGAAGGGCCAUCGCUCAACGGAUAAAAGGUACUCCGGGGAUAACAGGCUGAUACCGCCCAAGAGUUCAUAUCGACGGCGGUGUUUGGCACCUCGAUGUCGGCUCAUCACAUCCUGGGGCUGAAGUAGGUCCCAAGGGUAUGGCUGUUCGCCAUUUAAAGUGGUACGCGAGCUGGGUUUAGAACGUCGUGAGACAGUUCGGUCCCUAUCUGCCGUGGGCGCUGGAGAACUGAGGGGGGCUGCUCCUAGUACGAGAGGACCGGAGUGGACGCAUCACUGGUGUUCGGGUUGUCAUGCCAAUGGCACUGCCCGGUAGCUAAAUGCGGAAGAGAUAAGUGCUGAAAGCAUCUAAGCACGAAACUUGCCCCGA